CUGUUGAACAGCUCCAACAAACCUACAGCUUAGUGGGACAAGCUUCUUUUUAUAAAACUAAAAGAUGUUUCAAAUGUGCCAAGAGGAGCUUUAUGCCAGCCUCUAGGUUUGUUAUCCAAACAGUACUAAAUUAGAGGUCUCCUGAAGCGCACAGUUUGGACCAAGAUAAGCUGAUCUCCUUGGGCUUUCCCAUCUGGGUUCAGGCAGACUAUACAGAGCACUUGCAGGAUAUUAUGCAUACUAGUAAUGUGAUAAUUUUGAAAAACUGACUCCAGUCAGAGAUCUACUUUACACUGAGUCAAAACCUUCAUGACCUUUGGCAGAGGUGCAAUAGCAAGUCGUUUGCACAAGCCUGUCUUCUGAAGGUAUGGUGUAGGUUUCCCUUGAGGACACUGCAGUGGUUACAACACUCAUCUGGGAUGCAGAAAGAAAGCUGGAAUAUGGACUUUAACCCUGGUCUUCCAUACCCAAAGCCCCACUUACAGCUUGGAGAACUGUACCCUGGGAAGGAAGGACUGUGAAAAGUCUUGGGGUCAUGAUGGGUAAUCAGCUGAAUGUAAAAUCCCACUAUGACAAAUGUGACUGAAAGCAUUAAUGACAUCUCUGGAUAUUUCAACUACUAAUAUCAAAAAAUGCUCCUUCUGUGGCAUCCAAAAGGAUUGGCUACUGGUUUUGACCCACUUAGUCUUCCAAUGAAUCACAGGAAGGAUUCCAACAGAACUCUGCAUGGUUCCUGCCAGCUCACCUUGUGGGUUGUUUUCUGGUUCAGGCUCCCCUGGUGACCAGUCACAUGGACUACUUCAAAACUGAGGAUGAAAGGGUUUCCAGCUCCUUGCAGGGGAGCUAAAAUUCUGGCAGCCACAACUUUACACAGAAUUACUGGGGCUUCUGAGUGUGUAGCCCGCCUGAGGGAGGAUUAAUGCUUGCUUCCCAUUCCAAUGGAUUACACCAAAGAGCUCCCCAGGAACUUUGGGGUGGUGAUUUCUAUCACCCAUUCAUUGUAGUGCUUCUCCAUCUGAGCUGAACACAUCACCAAGCUGAAGCUGAUGAACCUACAUGACCAGUGUCAGUGUAGUCCUUGAGGGUGUCAUGGCAGCUCAUCCGCUCCACUGCCCACACGAGUGCCAUACAUGGCCCGGAGCAGGGCGGCAGCAGUAUGGGGCCCAGGGCAGGAGCAGGGGCUCCAUGGAGGGACAGGGGCAACCAGCAAAGCCCAGAAGCUUGAGAAAUACACAUGGCAGAACACAGACAUAGCUAUGGCUAGAUCAUCCCUGACCAGUGGCCUCUUCUUGAAGAGCUCCGGUGAUGGAAAGCCCACAGCUUCCCUGGGCAGUCUAUUCCAGUACCUAGAGGUCCCUUCCAACCCUAAUUUUCUACGACUAUACCAUUUAAACAUUGAAACAAACUAAGUUUACUUCAGAUAUAAAAGAUUUGCUGAAUAUUACCUCAUUUUGCAGUCUUGCAUGCCAAAUAACUACUUUUGAUUUUUCUUCAAUAUAUUAUAGAGUCUUGACUAUAACCAACUAUGCUGUGCACAAUAGCAGUUCAGUGUACCACAGUUUCUUUAAACACAGGUUUGGCUAUUAGUUUGAAACCACAGGCCUUUUCAUCGUGUAAAUACAACAAUUAAUAUUAUUUUCCUCCAAAUAGAAAUUUACUGUCAAAAUGUUUUUUCUAAAGGGAAGCCUGCAUUAUGCAGUAGAGACCAAAGAUUACCCUCUUCAAAUAUAUGACAUGGAAUUAUAGGUAGAAGUGGUUGUAGUGUAUAAGACCUGGGAAUUGCAGGGGGAUGACAAGAAGCCAGUGGCUGAUAAAAGGAAUUGAGAUCAGACAAAAAAAUAGGAAGAGGUGGCAGAGAGACUAGAACUGCCCAGAUAAGACUAGAGACCACUGAACCAAGGGUAAAAAGAUUGUUGUUAAGGAAGAGACAGAUCUGGUGAGAAGCCAGGGUGCAGAGAAAGAACUGGGACAGGCUGGACAAAAAGACUGGAAAAGGGAGCCAUAGUGUGAGAAUGGGGAAAGGAGAAAGGAUGGGGCUGAGGUUACAGUGGAAUUGGACAUGGAGGCAUGACUGCACACGAGUCAGGGAGGACAGAGACAAACUGAAAGAAAUAAGGCUGGCACUGGCUUGGUAAGAAGCAAAAGGAGAGAAAGAAAGGAUUAGGGAAGCAACACAGGGAAGAGGGGAGUAGAACUGGGUGCGAAAAAAGAUUCAGAGUGGGAUGGAGGCCUUAGAAAUGAACACUGAGACUGGGUGCAUAAGGAGAGGGCAGCUAGGAAGGGUAACUGCAUAGGGGGAACAGAUAGGACGAGAUUAAGGAUAGCCUGGAGGAGAAAGGGAAGAAGGAAUAAACUUGGGGAAAAAUGGGCAAGAGGGCAGAACUGGUGCUUCUUAGAGCACUUUCCUCUCCAACACAUCAAAUAGGAUCCAGGAUUCCAGAGUCUUGUUAUUCCUCUGCUAUCAACAAAUUGUUGUGAAAGUCCCAAACUCUUUUAUUCCUGGUCUGCCUAGAUGACAGUCUUCUACUGCUACCAAUUAUUUCAUUAGAUCAAGGGGCAAAGGUCUCUGUGGUGGGUCUGAAAACCCAUUUGAAUAGAUACACACACACACACACACACACACACACUGAUGCAAUCAUUAAGUUACACAAUCACAGAAUAUUUUUUCAUAGGCCCCUCACCUCCAGUGCACAAUAUUGAUGGUGCUAAGUUAAUGAGCAGCUGUGGAAUAUUUUGCUUUAUCCUCAUAUUUUAAUGUGCAGACUUAGGCCCUAUUUACUGCACACUAUUUAAAUGCACCCUGAACAGAGUGUUCACUUAAUUAUAAUAGUGUCUGAAUGCCUUACAAAAAAAAUUAUAACAUUUUUUCCAUUGAUGUGUUGGAGAGGAACGUGCUCUAAGAAGCACCAGAUCACCCCUCCUGCCCAAUUAAGAUGAGGGGAUGUUAUGGCCAUUUUUACAGAAAUGGAUCUGAGGCACCAAAAAUGGAUCUGCUAAUUUGGGGCAUGCAAAUUAAAGACAUGAUUUUUCAGAGUGCUUAGUAUUACAUAUCACUUUGUGUGUCAAACGAUAACUCUCAAGACUUUUGGUGCACCUGAGAAUGGUCAGCAGCACUUUGGCAAAUCAGCCCCCAUGUCUCAAGAUAGACCUCAGAAAAUGGGAAAUACAGGCAGUCCUCAACUUACAACGUUUAGAGUUACAAUGUUGUGCACUUACAAGGUUUAUAAAUUGACACCCUGUUUCAACUUUACAAUGCCCGUUUCGACUUUACAACACUGGAUCGGAUGCAAUGCCACGCCAGCGAACAAGUUCGCUGCGUCACUCAUCUCCCUGGAGAAUAUCUGUCCAAACUUCCUUGGACACUUUCUUUAAGAAAGCAGACAAGACUCCAGAAAAACCUGCAGCCAAGACUCUUGAGAAGACUUCAGCCAAGAACCCUUCAAAAAGUCCAACCAAGAGCUGUUCAAAAGUCAGCGAAGUCACUUCAAAGAAGUCCUUCCAAAUCAAUAUGAUUGCUGUUUACAGUAUAAAUACAUUAAUGUAGUUAUAUUACUCAUCUAUAAUUGAUCGAAUACAACAUUCUGGGGUAUUUUUGGAGAAAAUAGGGUAUCAGGCCUUGGUUCAGGAACAAAUUCCCCAUUUAUAACAUUGUUUCUUAUGAGAAAAUUGGUUUUGAGUUACAACGUUUUGACUUAAGGUGCGGUUUUCAGGAAUCAAUUGUGUCGUAAGUCUAAGGACUGCCUGUACAGAAUUAGUGAGUUUCACACCCCUGAAAACUCUGGUGCAAGCGAUUUUCCUGAGAACUUUUUUAUGUAGAACUUUUUAGCAGACAGAAAGAGAGAAUUAAAUUCUUCAGGGCAGCAUUCAACAGCUUUAACCAUCAAACCACCCUCUCUCUUCCCAAAACACCCUGCUUCAAUCACUGUAUGCAUGCCAACUUCUGCAACAAAUGUAGUAGCAGCACUACAGAACAGUGCACAGCUCUGAUUUAUUCCCCAAUCUGGUCCAUGCUGUGCAGCAAAUGAAGCACUGAUCUGUGCACAAAACAUUCUGCAAUCUGUAAUUAUAACACACAUGCACAAAGGGGCUGAAUUAAUUUUAAAAUUUUUUAACUGUUGGAUGCUUGUCUUUGCAACCUGAAUUAUAUUCUUGUAGUGUCAGUUGUGUGUAUAAUAAACAAUAUAUAUAAUAUAUGCAAUCAUUUUUAUUUUACUGAAUGAUGAAUAAUAAAGUAAGGUCUAUAAAUUGUGAAACACUUGUG